rnacentral:siRNA from 1 species
UGAAAUUUAUUUACAGUGGCUGCC